CGGGUGAGUAACACGUAGGUAAUGUGCCUUUGGGUGGGGAAUAACUUAGGGAAACUUAAGCUAAUACCGCAUAAUGCAGCGGCUCCUUCGGGAGACAGUUGUUAAAGAUUUAUCGCCUAAAGAGCAGCCUGCGGCAGAUUAGCUAGUUGGUAAGGUAAUGGCUUACCAAGGCUACGAUCUGUAUCCGACCUGAGAGGGUGGUCGGACACACUGACACUGAAUAACGGGUCAG
rnacentral:rRNA from 1 species